rnacentral:piRNA from 1 species
UCUGCACAUGGAAUAUAACAAUUACC